rnacentral:lncRNA from 1 species
GCCAAGCUUGAGAUUCUUUGAGAAUGCUUCGUAGAACUUGUUAUAGUCCUCCUUGUUCUCAGCAAUCUCAAAGAAGAGCUCAACGCACUUCUUGACCAGGUUCUUGCGGAUGACCUUGAGGAUCUUGUUCUGCUGAAGCGUCUCCCUAGAGAUGUUGAGGGGAAGGUCCUCAGAGUCGACAAUCCCCUUGACAAAGCUCAAGUACUCCGGAAUUAGUUCU